rnacentral:rRNA from 1 species
UUAGAGUUUGAUCCUGGCUCAGGACGAACGCUGGCGGCGUGCUUAACACAUGCAAGUCGAGCGAUGAAGCUUCCUUCGGGAAGUGGAUUAGCGGCGGACGGGUGAGUAACACGUGGGUAACCUACCUCAAAGUGGGGGAUAGCCUCCCGAAAGGGAGAUUAAUACCGCAUAAUAUAAGAAAAUCGCAUGAUUAUCUUAUCAAAGAUUUAUCGCUUUGAGAUGGACCCGCGGCGCAUUAGCUAGUUGGUGGGGUAACGGCCUACCAAGGCAACGAUGCGUAGCCGACCUGAGAGGGUGAUCGGCCACAUUGGAACUGAGACACGGUCCAGACUCCUACGGGAGGCAGCAGUGGGGAAUAUUGCGCAAUGGGGGAAACCCUGACGCAGCAACGCCGCGUGGGUGAUGAAGGUCUUCGGAUUGUAAAGCCCUGUUUUCUGGGACGAUAAUGACGGUACCAGAGGAGGAAGCCACGGCUAACUACGUGCCAGCAGCCGCGGUAAUACGUAGGUGGCGAGCGUUGUCCGGAUUUACUGGGCGUAAAGGGUGCGUAGGCGGAUGUUUAAGUGGGAUGUGAAAUCCCCGGGCUUAACCUGGGGGCUGCAUUCCAAACUGGAUAUCUAGAGUGCAGGAGAGGAAAGCGGAAUUCCUAGUGUAGCGGUGAAAUGCGUAGAGAUUAGGAAGAACACCAGUGGCGAAGGCGGCUUUCUGGACUGUAACUGACGCUGAGGCACGAAAGCGUGGGUAGCAAACAGGAUUAGAUACCCUGGUAGUCCACGCCGUAAACGAUGGAUACUAGGUGUAGGGGGUAUCAACUCCCUCUGUGCCGCAGUUAACACAAUAAGUAUCCCGCCUGGGGAGUACGGUCGCAAGAUUAAAACUCAAAGGAAUUGACGG